AUUGAACGCUGGCGGCAGGCCUAACACAUGCAAGUCGAGCGGAUGAGAGGAGCUUGCUCCUUGAUUUAGCGGCGGACGGGUGAGUAAUGCCUAGGAAUCUGCCUGGUAGUGGGGGAUAACGUCCGGAAACGGGCGCUAAUACCGCGUACGUCCUACGGGAGAAAGCAGGGGACCUUCGGGCCUUGCGCUAUCAGAUGAGCCUAGGUCGGAUUAGCUAGUUGGUGAGGUAAUGGCUCACAAAGGCGACGAUCCGUAACUGGUCUGAGAGGAUGAUGAGUAAUACUGGAGCUGAGACACGGUACAGCCUCCGACGGGAGGCAGCAGUGGGGAAUAUUGGACAAUGGGCGAAAGCCUGAUUCAGCCAUGCCGCGUGUGUGAAGAAGGUCUUCGGAUUGUAAAGCACUUUAAGUUGGGAGGAAGGGCAGUAAGUUAAUACCUUGCUGUUUUGACGUUACCGACAGAAUAAGCACCGGCUAACUUCGUGCCAGCAGCCGCCGUAA
rnacentral:rRNA from 1 species